AUGGCAAGAGCAACCAUGGCCUGCAAUCCUUUCCUUGCGAGUUCUUUGUGUUUAAUUAAAAGCUCCUGUGCAGGGCCUAUGAGGGUCCCUAUUCAUCUGUUUAAGGUUAGUCUCAUUGCUUGUUGGGUUGGAGCGCCUCUACCUCCCUUAUUUAUGGUGAAUUAUGUACAACAUUGCAGUAAUAUUUGGUCGUCUGGCUUAAAAUGCACACUUCCUUGCUGCAAUUUGACAUGGGUGAUUUCCUGGUUGGAGGAAAGUCCACAGGUACUGGAACAGGAUUUUGUCCUGACGGUUGUGCCACAAUUGUUGAUUCUGGACCUUCAUUGCUUGCCGGUGCCACGUAAUGAACCAAUUGAUAUUGGAUAUAAUGUGCACGAUCCGCACAAUGGUUUUCAUGGUCAGUUUAAGUCGAGUGCUGAGAGACUUGGUGAUGAGUUCGGUGCUUCUGCUGGUGCAUACGUUGGUUUUGAGACUAAAAGUUUUCUCUUCCUUUUUCUUGGAUUGCAGGUUCUGAUGCGCGAGAUUCUUCUGGUUGCUGUGGCGCACGCAAGCCUGGACGACCACGCCGCCAACUGGUUUACAUUGGAUCAGUCUAUGUACCACUGGGCUCUCAAUGACUACUACGAUAGCACCAACAAGGUAUAUCUUCUUCCUGAACGUAUCUCAACGAGGCUUUCACAUCCAGGUUCAGCUGCCACAAACAUAAAUGUGGCUAUGUUGGAAGAUGGUACAGAAAUGAGUUUACCACAGAUGGAGUGCAGUCUAGAAGUUAGAAUGAUGGAACGCUAUAUCCUGCUAUACAGGUCAUCAAGCCUUACUCAGACACAUGUUUUUUCUGCAAAUGAUUUGUGGGAAAAACGGACCGGCCACCUCUACUUUUCUGCGCUGGCUUCGCCUAUACGGUUCCCAAACGCUAUCGUCCCGCCGCCGCCGCGAUGCGUCUCUACUGCUCUUCUCCCCCACCACCUCCGGCUCGAGGAAGGGGUACGCCGCCGCCUCACGCUCUCCAGCGCCACCGACGCGGGGGACGCGCCUCCCCUCCCACCCACGCCGCUGCGGGCCAGCGACUCCCCUGCCACCGAGGACCCCAUCCUCCUCGGUGUGAGCGACGACCGCAUCCCGAGGGCGUCAUCCAGGUCGAGAGGCCCGGCCAGGUCUACGCCCAGUCCAAGAUCGUCUUCCACGCGUGAUCCCAUCACCCCGGACCGCCAUUCCUCAUUUGUAUUUAUGUUUGUCUUCGAUUCGCACAUUCAGUUGGUUUGCUCGGGAAGAUAUAUAUGGCUUCUGGCCGGAGAGGAUCUGCUUUGCCUCCUGAUCUUCUCCGCGUUGGGGAGUUGUGUCGACAACGAGAUCUUCAUCAUAGACCUCAAGAAGGGCGCCGUCUCCAUAGGGAAUGUUCUCCUUGAAGAGGGAGAUUCCCUGCCAUGCCGUGUCAUUGCACCUGUUUAUGCUGAAAUGUCAAAGAAUUAUCCUCAACUGAUGUUCCUGCCAAUUGAUGUUGAUGACCUAAUGAAAUAUAUGCAAACAGAUGAAAAUCACAAGAAUUCCGAUGAAAGACAUCAUGCUGAUUCUGACGUGGAAAAGGAUGAUGCCAAGCCUCUGGAGGACUUUGAAAGGAGCAGUACUCAGUGUGUGAGAGUUAAGAGAGAAUCUGCUGAAACUGAGGUGAUAACAGAUCAGUUAAAAGAUGUGGUGUGCCAGUUAAAAGAUGCAAAUGAGGCUGCAAAGAAUCUUGUAGUUGCGACGACAGCGGCACCUUCAGUUCGUGCUUUGAGGGCACCUAUUACAAAUACAUCUUACGGAUCAGAAGUAACCUUUUAUGUCCCCUUUGGGCGCUGCCAUCGUCCUCGCACCGUCGCGCGCGGCGUCGGAGACACGGAUGAGGUCGAGCAGUCUGUGCUUUCGUGUUCUUUCCUUGGCGUGUGGAGCCGAGGAUUCGGACGAGGAAGCCAAGCAAUCUGUGGCAUCUUCACCGGCGUCCUCUUGGUGUGCGGCUCUGGAGGGAUGGACAAGAAGGCCAAGAGCUGGAAGUGCAGCUAUAUCUGUAGUGUUGUUGGUGAGAUAUUGUUGGCCUUUUUUCAUAAGGGCGCUCACCAACUCCGGGAUGUGAUAUCAACACUUUCCAAUUCAUCACAAAACCAAAGCAGCUUAGCGUGGAAGCCGAAGCAUGCAGUGUACGUCAGCUCACUUUUGUGUGUGCCUGUGGCUGUUUGUGAUUGGUUACAGAAGCAACCGACGACUUGA
rnacentral:rRNA from 1 species